GAAUUGCGAUAAGUAAUGUGAAUUGCAGAUAUUCAGUGAAUCAUCGAAUCUUUGAACGCACCUUGCGCUCCUUGGUAUUCCGAGGAGCAUGUCUGUUUGAGUGUCAUUUGAAUAAUCAAGGCUAGUGUUUUGACUACUAGCAUUGGAAGUGGAGGUUGCUAUCUUAGAGAUGGCUACUCUGAAAURUAGAAAGGCCAAGUAGGCUUUGGCGUGAUAAGGAUCGUCAAGUGAUGGCCAGACGUAAAUCACUUAGUUACUAGGUAGUCCAAUGUUGACUAGCGAACACAAGUGUAGUCUAAUAAAGGAAAAAAGAUKGACCUCAAAUCAGAUAGGAUUACCCGCUGAACUUAA
rnacentral:rRNA from 1 species